rnacentral:rRNA from 1 species
CGGGCCGUAACUGACGCUGAGAAGCGAAAGCAUGGGGAGCGAACAGGAUUAGAUACCCUGGUAGUCCAUGCCGUAAACGUUGGGCGCUAGGUGUGGGGCUCAUUCCACGAGCUCUGUGCCGCAGCUAACGCAUUAAGCGCCCCGCCUGGGGAGUACGGCCGCAAGGCUAAAACUCAAAGGAAUUGACGGGGGCCCGCACAAGCGGCGGAGCAUGCGGAUUAAUUCGAUGCAACGCGAAGAACCUUACCAAGGCUUGACAUGUACCGGAAACAUCUAGAGAUA